AUCUCCACUCUCCCUCUGACGCUGCCGGGCUCUCAUCACAGACGCCGCCUCACUCUCCCUCUGACGCCGCCUCCCUCUCCCUCUGACGCCGCCUCAGCCUCUCAUCACGAAAACCCCAAGCACAGAGCAAUCGAGCCAAACACCAUCACAUCAUGACCUGAACCCACAUCCUCCCCCAAUUUCAGAUCGGGAAGCCAGCUUUUCUUCAUCCUCUCUUUACUACAGAACGCAUCCUGGUGCUCAAAUGGUGAUGAAGAAGAAGACAAGGAAGUUGGUUGGAAAUACCUUCAUGGUGAUGUUUUCAGACAACCUUCAAACAUACCACUGUUUUGUGCCGUCUUGUUCAAGAUCCAAAGACACCGAUCUGGAAAACCUCGGAAAGGAUGUUAUUCAUCAUUCUUGAAUUAUUGAUAUGGAUUUUGAAAUACCAAAGUUUUGUACAGAUACUUGAUUAGAUUCAAGCAGAUCCUAUUUUUUCAUUAGUCCAUUUGAUCAGAGAGAACUAAUCUGCAUUUUGUGA